rnacentral:lncRNA from 1 species
CUACUAUACUAUCGAUAGUACCAAGCCCUUGAUACUAUUGAGUUUUCUGCCGUUAGAUCUAUCCUUUGAUCAUUUCCACCCAUUAGAUUAUACUAUUAAACCAACCACCCACUCAACCCUAGGGGACCACUAUCAAUUUAACCGGGGACCACUAUCAACCUAACCGCACAUCUAUUCAUCCAACGGCCGAAAACUCAAUAGUACCAAGGACUUGGUACUAUUGAUAGUAUAGUAGCAUAAUUCUAUAUAUAUAUAUAUAGAGUUGAUCUAGAAUACUCUCAAAAACACCAAUGAGGUGGUGCUUUUGAGUUGUUAACCAUUGGAUCGAGGAAUGUAAGGUUGUGAUGAUGGUGGUAGGUUGUGGUAGGUGGAAUAGUAUUUGAUCCAACGGCUAUUAGUAAUCAAGGAGUAGCUCCAAGAGCUAGAAACCUAAAAGCACCAAUGGGUGAUACUUUUAAAAGUAUUCUAGCUCAAUUCUAUAUAUAUAUAGAGAGAGAGAGUUGGACUGGGCUACUAUUAAUAGUAAAAUUCCAUUGUUGCUACCAGUUUUUUAAUCUUUGGAUCAACUCUUUUCAUUAUUUCUAAUCAUUGGAUUAAAUACUAUAACCCAGUGGGGACCACUCAACCCUAGGGGGACAACUUAACUCUAACCGACUAAUAUCAUCCUAACCCUACAAUUUUUCAUCCAAGGGUUAAAAACUUGAUAGCAAAAAGAGCGUUUUACUAUUAAUAGUAUUUCAGCCUAAUUAUAUAUAUAUAUAU